rnacentral:lncRNA from 1 species
AAGUUACUACAUUAUUCCACCUCCCAUAGAAGGGGAGAGAGAACAUACACAAUUAAAAUAAAAUGUGAAAAAGUGAGAUGAAGUCUCAUAAUUGGAAUCUAAAUGAAGUAAUAUUGAAUUACUCUGGGAUAUAAGCUUGGAAAUCUUGAUGGAAAGAAGAAGUCAAAAUGAUGCUCAUGUAGGGCAAAUUUGGGGAGGGUGAAGUUCAAGAUCAUGUAUUUCUUGGAUUUUAGAAGGCAAUUACCAGUGCU